rnacentral:rRNA from 1 species
AUUGAACGCUGGCGGCAGGCCUAACACAUGCAAGUCGAGCGGAUGAAGGGAGCUUGCUCCUGGAUUCAGCGGCGGACGGGUGAGUAAUGCCUAGGAAUCUGCCUGGUAGUGGGGGAUAACGUCCGGAAACGGGCGCUAAUACCGCAUACGUCCUGAGGGAGAAAGUGGGGGAUCUUCGGACCUCACGCUAUCAGAUGAGCCUAGGUCGGAUUAGCUAGUUGGUGGGGUAAAGGCCUACCAAGGCGACGAUCCGUAACUGGUGUGAGAGGAUGAUCAGUCACACUGGAACUGAGACACGGUCCCGACUCCUACGGGAGGCAGCAGUGGGGAAUAUUGGACAAUGGGGGAAAGCCUGAUACAGCCAUGCCGCGUGUGUGAAGAAGGUCUUCGGAUUGUAAAGCACUUUAAGUUGGGAGGAAGGGCAGUAAGUUAAUACCUUGCUGUUUUGACGUUACCAACAGAAUAAGCACCGGCUAACUUCGUG